UUAGAAUCGGAGAGCAGGCUAAGGCAGGAGAGAGCCAAAGAGGAAGGAGCGGGGAGCCCAACUGAGGAGGAGGGAGCUGGGGUACCCUCGCUUUCACGUGUCUUCGCUUGACAGCAGGAGCUCACCUUUGCAGGCACGUAUUACUUAGGGAUCGGCAGAGGGUAAGGGGUAGGGAAAGAGAGGGGUUGGUAUCUUUUGGGGUACGCCCCUGCCUGUGUCGUCUUGCGUCGAAGUAGAUCCCAAACGCCGGUGGCCGCCCCAUCUUGGCCGCCGCUACCGCGCCGUUCUAGCGUUCCACUAGCUAUAUCUCCUACCCGCCUCGGCGUCAAGUCGAGUCUCAUGAGCACUAAGAGAUGUCCAUCCAGUGGAGAGCGGGGGGGAGGUAGGCCGGUACGCUUUCGGAGGCGACGACGAUACGACAUGCAUACCUCUACUAGAGGGUGCUUCGUCGCACCAACGGUUCGUACUGUACUGACUUACGGGCUACCAGUACUAUGCUAGGCCAUCUAAUGACCUUGCAGAUCCUUGACGAGCUAUACUGUCGAAUGUGUUCUUCCUUGCGUCGGUUUUCUUGUGGCUAUCAGCAUUCUUUGUCUUCUGUUUUGUGUCUUAACCUAGUUUUAGAAUGAGCGUUGAUUCAAAACUCUUCUCUUUGAACCUUUGAUCUCUUCUCGGUCUAACAUAACGAGACACCCUUGAGUGCGUGUGCUUCUUACCUCGUACCAGAUUGUGUCUCAGGGUCCUACAAAUGUCCGCCACCACCGGCCUCAGCUCGCGGUGCUCGAGCGGCCGCCACUCCACCAAGCCCGCGCUUUACUUCUGCCGCUGUGACGCGCGAAGCCCCGAUCGCCCUUCCGGUCCCCCCUCGACGCGCAGCGCGGCUCGUGUUUCCUGAGCCGGGGCACUGGUAAACCAGUGGCCUUCCCGCGGCCGCUGCGCACGUCCGCCGCCGCGCCAGCCCACGAAGCCGCCAUCGAUC
rnacentral:rRNA from 1 species